GGCGAACGCUGGCGGCAUGCCUAACACAUGCAAGUCGCACGCCCAGCAAUGGGAGUGGCGGACGGGUGAGUAACGCGUAGGAAUGUGUCCAGAGGUGGGGGACAACCCCGGGAAACUGGGGCUAAUACCGCAUAUGAGCUGAGGCUCAAAGCAGUAAUGCGCCUUUGGAGCAGCCUGCGUCCGAUUAGGUAGUUGGUGGGGUAAUGGCCUACCAGGCCUGCGAUCGGUAGCUGGUCUGAGAGGACGAUCAGCCACACUGGGACUGAGACACGGCCCAGACUCCUACGGGAGGCAGCAGUGGGGAAUAUUGGACAAUGGGGGCAACCCUGAUCCAGCAAUGCCGCGUGUGUGAAGAAGGUCUUCGGAUCGUAAAGCACUUUCGGCGGGGACGAUGAUGACGGUACCCGCAGAAGAAGCCCCGGCUAACUUCGUGCCAGCCGCCGCAGUAAAAC
rnacentral:rRNA from 1 species